rnacentral:rRNA from 1 species
UACGGGGGGGGCAAGCGUUUGUUCGGAAUUACUGGGCGUAAAGGGCUCGUAGGCGGCCAACUAAGUCAGACGUGAAAUCCCUCGGCUUAACCGGGGAACUGCGUCUGAUACUGGAUGGCUUGAAUCCGGGAGAGGGAUGCGGAAUUCCAGGUGUAGCGGUGAAAUGCGUAGAUAUCUGGAGGAACACCGGUGGCGAAGGCGGCAUCCUGGACCGAGAUUGACGCUGAUGCGCGAAAGCUAGGGGAGCAAACGGG